rnacentral:rRNA from 1 species
GAUGAACGCUGGCGGCGUGCCUAAUACACGCAAGUCGAGCGAACAGACGAGGAGCUUGCUCCUCUGACGUUAGCGGCGGACGGGUGAGUAACACGUGGAUAACCUACCUAUAAGACUGGGAUAACUUCGGGAAACCGGAGCUAAUACCGGAUAAUAUAUUGAACCGCAUGGUUCAAUAGUGAAAGACGGUUUUGCUGUCACUUAUAGAUGGAUCCGCGCCGCAUUAGCUAGUUGGUAAGGUAACGGCUUACCAAGGUAACGAUGCGUAGCCGACCUGAGAGGGGGAUCGGCCACACUGUAACUGAGACACGGUCCAGACUCCUACGGGAGGCAGCAGUAGGGAAUCUGCCGCAAUGGGCGAUAGCCUGACGGAGCAACGCCGCGUGAGUGAUGAAGGUCUUCGGAUCGUAAAACUCUGUUAUUAGGGAAGAACAAAUGUGUAAGUAACUAUGCACGUCUUGACGGUACCUAAUCAGAAAGCCGCGGCUAACUACGU